rnacentral:misc_RNA from 1 species
GAUGAAGAACGUAGCGAAAUGCGAUAAGUAAUGCGAAUUGCAGAAUUCAGUGUAUCAUCGAAUCUUUGAACGCACAUUGCGCCCGCCAGUAUUCUGGCGGGCAUGCCUGUCUGAGCGUCGUUUCGACCCUCGCGCCCGGCUUCUGUCGGGGGCGGUGUUGGGGAUCGGCCACACCCUUCAGUGGGAGGCCGGCCCCUAAAUUCAGUGGCGACCACGCUGUAGCCUCCCCUGCGUAGUACUAAAACCACCUCGCAGGCGGAGAGCGGUGCGGCCCGCCGUAAAACCCCCCAACUUUUACAAGGUCGACCUCAGAUCAGGUAGGAAUACCCGCUGAACUUAAGCAUAUCAAUAAGCGGAGGA